ACCCUCAGAUGAUACGUUGGCCUUCCUGUAACCUAUAGCCAGCAGCUGUGUCCUCCGACUUUGGCUUUAGACACCCAUCCUCCCCAGGGAGCAAAUUCCAGAACGGAGGGUGGGAGGGCGGUGCGACCCUGGGCACUAGUCCGGGGAAGUGAUCGUCAAUGCCGCCCCGCCCCUGCGCCCUCGGCCUGACCACGCUACCUGCACAGUUUACUAAGACGAGUUAAAUGGACAACAAACCCUCCCGCGGGCGUAUGAAAGUUUUCAAGACGCCUACAAGUGGAAAAUGCACUCCUCCCAGCCAAAUCAAGCUUCGCCAGAUUCCUUACAGCUGUGUGCAGUGAAAUGACUAAUGAAAGAGCCCUCUGCUGCUGGUGGAACUUUCACAUAUGGCACUGUUAUGCCACUCAGCAGGACCCGACCCUGGUAUUUACAUAUUGGAUGUCACCCCAAAAGCCCCUGACCAGGGGGUUUCCGGGAUGUAAUAAGAAUGCCACUCUGGGCUUUGGAAGGUGCACCGUAUGCACACCCAUACUAUAGGGCAGGGGUUAGCAUUUCAGACCCCUGUUCCUCCCUUGACAAGCAAGUGCUUUUCUCCAGGGAAGACGUUCAGGUUCAUUCAUAGAUCCAUUGGUGCCGUGGGCAGCUCAGUAACAAUAGCUCUGCUGCCUACCAGCUGCUGGUGGAGGUGUUGAGAAUACCUAAUGAGGAAGUCAGGGCCCCUGCGUGCUUCAGCAGAGCUGGAUGCCUGGCAUGGCAAUCAAUGGACACAAACCUUUGGAUAAUUUCCGUCCUUGGCGGUGUGUUCUAUAGCAUAGGUAUGAAGUGGGUGCUCUGGGAGCUCAGAAGAGGGGCUCUUCUCUUAACUUAUGGGUGGCCAGGGAAGGCUUCCUGGAGCUCAAAUGACUGAGUGGAGUCUUCAACAUUAAAAAAAAAAAAAAGAAAAAAAA
ensembl:lncRNA PRDX6-AS1 PRDX6 antisense RNA 1